rnacentral:rRNA from 1 species
AGUUUGAUCCUGGCUCAGGAUGAACGCUAGCGGCAGGCCUAACACAUGCAAGUCGAGGGGCAGCACGUAAAGUGGUAACACUUUUGGUGGCGACCGGCGGACGGGUGCGUAACGCGUAUGCAACCUACCUUUAACAGGGGGAUAACGGAUGGAAACGUCCACUAAUACCCCAUAACACAUUCCGGGGCAUCCUGGUAUGUUGAAAAUUCCGAUGGUUAAAGAUGGGCAUGCGUUGUAUUAGAUAGUUGGUGAGGUAACGGCUCACCAAGUCGACGAUACAUAGGGGGACUGAGAGGUUAACCCCCCACACUGGUACUGAGACACGGACCAGACUCCUACGGGAGGCAGCAGUGAGGAAUAUUGGUCAAUGGGGGCAACCCUGAACCAGCCAUGCCGCGUGCAGGAAGACGGCUCUAUGAGUUGUAAACUGCUUUUGUACUGGGAUAAAUGUAGCCACGUGUGGUUGCUUGAAGGUACAGUACGAAUAAGGAUCGGCUAACUCCGUGCCAGCAGCCGCGGUAAUACGGAGGAUCCAAGCGUUAUCCGGAUUUAUUGGGUUUAAAGGGUGCGUAGGCGGCACAGUAAGUUAGAGGUGAAAUUCAGUGGCUCAACCACUGCCGUGCCUCUGAUACUGCUGAGCUAGAGAGUAGAUGCGGUAGGCGGAAUGUGUAGUGUAGCGGUGAAAUGCUUAGAGAUUACACAGAACACCGAUUGCGAAGGCAGCUUACCAAUCUAUAUCUGACGUUGAGGCACGAAAGCGUGGGUAGCAAACAGGAUUAGAUACCCUGGUAGUCCACGCAGUAAACGAUGAUAGCUCGUUGUCGGCGAUACACAGUCGGUGACUUAGCGAAAGCGUUAAGCUAUCCACCUGGGGAGUACGUUCGCAAGAAUGAAACUCAAAUGAAUUGAC